rnacentral:rRNA from 1 species
UUGACCUCGGAUCAGGUAGGGAUACCCGCUGAACUUAAGCAUAUCAAUAAGCGGAGGAAAAGAAACCAACCGGGAUUGCCCUAGUAACGGCGAGUGAAGCGGCAAGAGCUCAAAUUUGAAAGCUGGCUCCUUCGGGGUCCGCAUUGUAAUUUGCAGAGGAUGCUUCGGGAGCGGCCCCCAUCUAAGUGCCCUGGAACGGGCCGUCAUAGAGGGUGAGAAUCCC